GACGAACGCUGGCGUCGUGCUUAACACAUGCAAGUCGAGCGGAAAGGCCUUUCGGGGUACUCGAGCGGCGAACGGGUGAGUAACACGUGAGUAACCUGCCCCAGACUUUGGGAUAACCUCGGGAAACGGGGGCUAAUACCGGAUACGACACUCCAUCGCAUGGUGUGAGUGUGGAAAGUUUUUCGGUUUGGGAGUGGGCGUCGCGGCCUAUCAGCUUGUUGGUGGGGUGGAUGGCCUA
rnacentral:rRNA from 1 species